rnacentral:rRNA from 1 species
GACGAACGCUGGCGGCGUGCUUAACACAUGCAAGUCGAACGGAAAGGCCCUGCUUUUGUGGGGUGCUCGAGUGGCGAACGGGUGAGUAACACGUGAGUAACCUGCCCUUGACUUUGGGAUAACUUCAGGAAACUGGGGCUAAUACCGGAUAGGAGCUCCUGCUGCAUGGUGGGGGUUGGAAAGUUUCGGCGGUUGGGGAUGGACUCGCGGCUUAUCAGCUUGUUGGUGGGGUAGUGGCUUACCAAGGCUUUGACGGGUAGCCGGCCUGAGAGGGUGACCGGCCACAUGGGGAUUGAGAGCCGCCCACGACUCCUCCGGGGGGCAGCGGUGGGAAUUUUUGCACAAGGGGCGGAACCCUGCUGCAGCAACCCCGGGUGCGGGAUGACGGCCUUCGGUUUUAAACCCGCUUUCGCCUGUGACGAAGCGUGAGUGACGGUAAUGGAUAAAGAAGCCCCGGCUAACUACGUC